rnacentral:lncRNA from 1 species
UUUGUGUUUGAGGUAUUCUGAUUGUUUAGCAUGUCCAUUUUAUUCUUUGGAUUAUUUAUUGUUCAUACUUAUCUUAGCAACUUAUGGACACUUUCAAAAGUGAGUUUUCUGCUGCACAUAUUUUGUAAAUUUUGAAAAAUUUAACUCAACCCCCCCCCCCCCAAAAAAAAAAAAACAAAGGAAUUAUUGAGAAUUAUCCAAGGAAGCAUGAUUUGGUAUAAUAGUGCGUCAAUAUUUGAACAUACAAUUUAACUUAGGUUGCUACAUUAAACUAAUGGCCUAAACUUUAGCCUAUGCACACAGAUAUAUCUACCAAUUUGUAAGGUAGAUAGUAUCACUCUAAUACUUUUUUUUUUUAAAUCUCUAAAUACCUCACAGCCAUCAUAUUGAGAGAAAUGCUGCAGUUUGAGGAAGCAUGGAGCAGGAAGAAUAUUCUUUUUGACAAAAAAAUCUGUAAACAUUAGAUUCCAAUUUUGAUUAUUUUAUGAAUAAUAAUUUUAAGAUUAAAAAUAUUUUACUAUUUAAUUAUUAUAGAUUGGAUUUAUAUUAAAAUUUAUUAUUUUUUUAAGUUCAAGUCUUCCUAGAACUUUAGCAUUAUUUUUUAUAUAUUUAUUUAUUUUAAAUAAAGGAUCCAUGUAUUGCACAUGCCACAUUGUAAUUAGAAUCGGAGAUAUUAGAACUAAGAUUUUUCGCAUGCCUUUCAUAUUGGAUUGGGGAAGCAUAGUAUGGAGAGUAUUAUUUUUUGACAAAAAAUCUAAAAGCCUCGGAUUCUAAUUUUGAUUAUUUUAAUUAAGAUAGUUUUCAGAUUAAGAUAUUUUAUUAUUUAAUCAUUAUAUAUCAUGUUUGUAUUAGAAAUAUCAUAACUAUUUUAUUACAUUUGUCUAUCAAAAAUUUAAGUCCUACAAGAAAACUUCUCUAACUUUUUUUUUGCAUUAUUAAUAUCCAGAGCAACAAAUUUUGUACUAUUUUCUAUAAGAGUUCGAGUCGAGUGAAUUUGAGGAAUUGCUUCCUUCUUCUCUCUUUAUUCGAAUCAUAGAAUAGCAAUACCACUAAAAUUCUCUUACCAAGAAUUCCAUUCAUGGAAUUGUGCCACCCAUUCUCGAGCUCUCAAUCCCACCACCCAAACAGGGGCUAUAGGGGAAGGAACUGAGAAAUUGGAUUUUAUGGGAUGAGAGUGGUUUAGCUCUGUUGCCAAAUGGAAACUGAAUAAUGCUUAGAACCCUCCUACAAUACAUUGCAUACUUUUGAGAUUUAUGCCCAUCUUUUUUAUUGUUUUUUUUUUUUUUUUUGUCUGAAAGCGGAUGUUUCAUAUAGUGCGUAUACGGAUACACCUAAAAAAGUCAAAAUACAACAAUUCGCAGAGUGCUAGUGGCAGCUCUCCCUCCCCUGACCAAAGAUUGUACCCUGAGUGGUGGGCCGCUAUCCAGUCGGCCGCCCCAUUGGCUUUUCUAAAUACAUGCUUGGCCUGAAAGACCCUCCCAUCUGUCAUCAUCAUCCCUAUGUUACGGAUUAAGGGGUGGUCUGUGCCGUCACCCCUCGACCCCCUCUAAAUCCACCCGAUAACCGUAGCCAUCUUUAUGUAUUCAAUGAUGCAUUUGGAAAGCAUUUCAAAUCUCAAAGGCCACCAUGUAUUAAAUUUUCAGCGAGAAGUCUAUCUUUGGAUCGUUAUCAUUAUCAUCACCUUUAAAUAAGCACCCCUAAACUAGUGGAGAUCAUGCUCAAAUAGGCACGGUUUCUCCGAUGGAUUUUGCUGUCAAUAUGCGAGCAUGGCAAUACGGGAGGCCGGCUUAAGUUGGCAUGAUUAGAACUAGAACACAUGAUUUAUCUCAGUAAGCGACUAAUGAGGUUUUUUUGGUUCAAUAAGAGUGACUAAAGCAUGGUUCCGCAAUGACAGAUCAUAGACAUGAUAUGGGUGUUACUAAUCAUGGUUCGGCACAGUUCGAGUACAGCACCAAAAAUUUCUGCUGUGGUUUAUUCCAACUCCAUAGCGACAUGUUUGGCGUUCAGAAACAAUUUGGAUAUUUCAAAUUGAGAACAAAAAUAUAACUUCAUCAAAAGUUUGAAAAACUCAAAUAAUUAUAUAUAUAAAAAAGAAAAUAAUGGACAUUAGAUUUUUAAAAAAUUGGCAUAUUUACUCAUGAAAAUUAGCAUAAAAAUGAAGAAUAAAUCCAUGUCCACCUCAUGAUUGAAUAGAUCUGAACGGAUUUGUUUAUUGAGAAUAUUUCAAAGAAUCAUUUGGAGAAGGAAAAGCUUGAAAAAAGCUGGGUCUUUUCGGCCACUCAAGAGAAUAUUGCUUCUGUUGUCCAUUCCUAUCCUGAGUUACCCAUAAUUCUCAUGUUACUUGCCACAUGGUUGGCUCAGACAAGAUUUCAUCGCCUACAUAAAGAGUUCUUUGAUAUACUUAGGAACAUAUGUUGCCCCAAAUAAGUAAUAGAGAGAGAAAAAGAGAGAAGCUAAGACAAGGGAGAGGCAUCAAAUCAAUAAUGGUCAGACAACCAUCUGCAAGUUCCUUCUGUAAUAUAGUGGAGAGAUCCACAGAGUUGCAAGGAAAAAGGAAGCAUGGAGAUCCCAAAUUUCAAUGUGCAACAGAAAAUAGUCAACAACAAUAUGAAGCCACUGUUUUGUUUGUUUCUUGAAUUUGUUUUAUUUAGUCUUUUAAUACUGCACCCUCACUGUUAUAUAUACAAGUAACAGAAUUAGAACAAACUCCAAUGGAGGAAAAAAAAAGAAAAAAAAGAGAAGAAAAGUAUAUAAUGCACACAGCUCCAUUGAGUUAACAGCUCCCAAGUGCUUCCAAAAUGCUAAAAAAGGAUUGGCAGAGAUCACUGGAGCUGUUAAAAACUGGGAGGAAAAACACUUCUAGUUAAGUACCUUUUCUUGGAUCAUCAACAUAUCCAUCCACAGGUCGUAUGAGUUAUUAUACCGGGUAAUGUUUAUCUAACACCAGUAAAAAAGGACCCAUAUCAUUCACCUUUAUUUUUUUCUGGUUUCACUAAUUUCUUCUCGCAAAGACAACCUUUGGGCUUGCCUGAAGCUGAAGAAGGCAAUCAUGCACUGUGGGCUUGGAGUUGUUCUCAAAAUCAGGCUUAAGUCUCAUCUGCAAUGUAAACAUUUAUUUAUGUUUGAUGAGUUUAACAAAUACAGUACAACUUUGCCAAAGUUGAAUAUGAUAUUGUAAUUCAUUACAAGGUAUGAUUUUAGCCGAUGGAAAGAACUAGUUGAAUGUAAAAAGAAAUUAUUCGUGAAUCACCUCUUGAUCUCAAGUCCCCUUUUUUUACAGCUAAAGGUACUCAGCAACAUGUCAUGCGCUAAUUAACUUAAAGAGGAGUAUUUUCAAUCAGGUAAACAACAAAAGCCAAUUAUGCCUCAUGCUCUUUUAAGCAUCGAUUUCAUGCCACAUGCAUAAAUAAUCAAACAUGUUAUGCAUUUCUACAUAUAAACACACCAAAAUGACGAAAAAACGCUAGUUGCAGCAUGCAAUUAUCAAAAGAAAGAAAAGAAAGAUUACUAACACAUGGUAUAUAUGAAACAUAGUUUGUUUUUGAUUUUGAACUGAUAACAUUACAAAUCUGUACCGAUUUCGGUCACAAUACAUGCAGUGCUUGUUGCUGCAAAAAAAGAAUUAAAAAAUGCAUUGAUGUAUGUAAUCCAUUCUUUGUUAUUAAAAUCUGAGAUGUCCCUCCAAAAAUUAAUCUAAAAUCACAAGCAAAGUUUCAAAUAUCGUGCAAUUUGGUCACGUACUGCUUGCUGGCAGGUACAGAGUGUUAGGUGAGGACCCAAUGACGACUUAGUUUUUCACUCUCGAACUCAAGUCGAAUAAAUCUAGACAUAUGUCGGACGACGGGGUUUGACGAGUUAUCCAUGACCUCCGGUCUGUAGGAAUCCAUGAUAGAAAUACUGUAUCAUACGAUAACUGCACCUACAGGUUCAUCAUUCUACUCUGCUGGGUAGCCACUACAUACUGCUAGGUGUCACUGGUGGAUGGUGAGACUCACAGGGACCAUUCUGAUGGUCGAUGAUCCCUGGUGAAAUCACAAAGGGGAUAAAGAUGAGCUCCUAUUUUGAAUUCACAAAGGGAUAAAGAUGAGCUCCUAAAAUUUAGGAGCUCAUCUCUAUCCCCACACCAUAAAAGAGGGGUUCAAAGGGGCUACGAAUUUUUCAUGGUUUUUCCUUGGGAUUUUUGGCAGCAAGGAACCUCCUUCCAUCCCUCCUUUCAGCCACAAGAAAGCAAGAAAAAAAGGCUUGUGGCGUGGCCCUUCUUCCUUCCAUUCUUUGGUUCCAACGCGAAGGGAAAAAUGAAAGACUGCGGGUUUUACAUUCUUCUUCCUACAUCCCUCCUUCUUCCUCCUCUCAAGGUAAUCAAAAGUUGAUUCAAAGGAGAGGAUAUCAGCCAUCAAAAGCUAUCUCUGCAAGGGAGCUAGCACCCCGGGAAGAUCCAAAAGCUUCAAUUGGUGCUAUACCUCGUGUGGAUACCUGUAGAGGCCGGAUGCGUGUGCGGCUUCCAUCGAACCUUCAACAAAUCCACGUAAAUCAGAUUUGCAGAGACCAUCUACCCGCACAAGAUGAAGAUCUGAUCUUCUUAAUGAUUUUAAAAUGGUUUAUAAGAAUUUAAUCCUAAUCUAUCUACAAACGACGGUUUUAAAAUACGUUCAUGCGAUGAACGGGAUCGCACAUGCCCUUCCGCUGCACAUCUAAAAAUUUUUGAAAUUUUUCUGCGGCAUGCAUCAGAUCCUAACAGUGGUAUCAGAGCCAGGUUAUGUAGAUUAAGAUUGGAAUUAAAUUUUUAAAGGCAUUUUAAAUCUAAAAUUUAAAGAAUUAUGCUUGCUGAAAUUUUCUGCAUACAGAAUUUUCAGCUUGCUGAUUUUUCUGCAUGCUAAUUUUUGAAUGCUUAGAUUAAUGAUUCUAAUGCUUUGGUAAUGUGAUUACAAAUAUUUAGAAUCAUAUCUUGCAUAAUCAGCAAGUCAUAAGAUGAAAUAAUCAGUUAAAUUACAGAUCUGAAAAUAAUAUUUAUGCAUGAGAUGCGUAUGGUGAUGAUCAUGGAUGGACCCUUUUGAAUGUGCUGAAAUAUUCUGCGAUAUUCUGUGAUGCUAUGUGAUGGCAUGUAAUUUUAAUUUUCAGAUGCCUGCGUGCAUCUUAAAUUCAUGUAUUAAAGACCUGCGUGUCUCAUGAAAAAGGGUUGUAAUUUAUUCUUUUAUUUUAUUUAAUUUUUAAAGCAAUCUGGGAUGUAAUCUGUGAUGUGUGUUGCACGUCGAUGGUUGAUCGAUAUGUACAUUAACAAGCUUAACAUGCACGGAUCGAAAUCAAGGGUUGAUUGAAGAUGGAUCAAGGAGUUGAUCACAAUUGGACCUAGGGAUCAAGAUCAAGUCAAAAGUUGAAGAUGAUCAAACCAAUUGACGUGCAUGUGAUUGUAAAAUGACCCCAUCCUGGAUCCAUGAUCAUCACCAUUUAAAUUUAUUUGUUGAUAAAUGCCUGGAUGUUUAAUGCUUAUGUCUAUACGGGUAGAUAUAUAUUUGCAUGAGAUGUGAAUAGUCGAUCGAGAGAGACCUAAAUACAAACCUUCUCAAUCAGUCAAGAGUGAACCAACAUGAGCUAGUCAUAUUAGAUUAAUUGAUCUAAUUGGUGUCUAGGCAGCUUAAAAGGUGGUUACUUAAUUAGGACCUUACUCUUCGAGUAAGGGGAACCUCCCACCUGCUUACCUGGCCAAUUGUUCCAUGCGAAACCAAUCACCGGCUAGUACAACCUCCGAUACCAAUUCGGAGAACCUUAAUUCUUGGAUAUUGCUAAAAGAAUGAUCUAUAUGUGUCCGUUUUUAAAAUUUAAAUAUGUUUUUUUUGAAUCCAUACUAACUAAAUAGUUAAUAGCACCAAGCUCCAUAAAAUAUGCAUAGAAGAGUAUAUUAGAACAAUAGUAAUUAUGCCAUCUUUAAGUGAAGCAUUAAAGUCGAUUUUAGAAGAAUUUGACAAACAUAACACAGAUCACCAACCUCAUAGUUUUGAAGUAAAUAUGCAAGCAAUGCUGAUAUUCCAUGAAUUGCAAACUUUUGUCCAAUGCAUGCUCGUGCACCAGCCCCAAAAGGAAGAAAUGCUGCACUUUUAUUUGGUUCACUUAUAAAUGGGCACUCUUCAUGCUUCUCAUGUUCCUCAAAUGUGCCUGCAAUUUCAUUUUGAGACAGAUAUUGAAAACAUUAACAAAUAAGUAUCUCAAAGAAAUGCUUUAAAGGAAUGAAAAAUGGAAUAAAUUCCAUUUCCUUUGAAGGGAGAUUGAAGUAUUGGGAGCGAACAUGCAUAAAUUAUAAAAUUGAAGGAGCCAAAAUGCAUGAUAAUGGAGGAGUUCUAUUAAACCUUUGUAAAUAAAUCAAAGCUAUAUCAUCUAAUAUUGCUUUGAUAUACCAGGAAUUAGGAAGCAUCUUACUCAGUAAAACUAUCAGAAAUAAAGCACAAUCCUUCAAACUAUUGGUAAAAGAAAUCAACCCCAUUAUGCCCAAAAGUAAUGCUCAAUCCUUAUUUGAUUUAAACAACUAAUACAGGUGACUGGCAUUGGUUGUUCUCGUCAGGUGCAACAAUUAUUGUAGCAUCAGACAAAUUGGCAAUAGCCUUUUUGUUCAUAGAAAUUCUUAAUAAGAUAAUUCUCAAAUGGUGAAAAAUCUCAGAAGACAAUGAUACAAAAAUGCAACCAACUAAAAGCCACAGAAAUAUUAUACUACCAAGAAGAGCAAAAUAUUGAUGUGUAGAAAAAGGAGAGAGAAAUGAACAUAGCUUUUGACACAAGAAUAAGAUCGUCUUAAACAACAAUAAGCAGCCUCCCACAAGAUUUUAGAAUUUUGGUUCAAGUCUUGGUUUUGAUAAGAGGACUAAAGUAUUGGCUGAAACAUGCUUCGACUGGGAUAGAUCUCAAACUGAUCAAAAAAUUCAGUUUCGGCCACCGGUUUCAACAGUUUCAGAUGAAACCAACUGAAGCUGCCGUUCUUUUACCCCAUUUGUUAACAAGUAUAUGUAUUUAUGUUUAAUAUGUGUUCGAUAUUAUUAAAUCACACGUUCAUCUGAGUCUCUAAUGAUCUUAUCUAUAUAACUUUUGUCUAAGUUAUUAUACUGGAAAGUCAAUGUAUUAAAAAGUGGAUAGAAAGCACAUAACAGCCAGGGGGGCUCCUAGCCAAUAGCGAAUAGCAAGUGCUAUGUACCCAAAGCAGGCUGUUGAAGUAUAUAUAUAUUUUCUUACUAAAUAUCAAAGAUAUCAACUCUACAUCAACUUCAUGUAAAAAAUGAAGAAAAUAAAGAAAAAUUUAAAACAACAUCCACGUAUCAUCGUAAUAUCAUAUCAACAUUUAUAAUUUUGUAUAAUGUAAAGGUACACGAUCUAAUGAGCAAUAUCAUCAUCCACCAAACAUAAUUACAUCACUCAAUAAAGAUGUCUACAAUAUGAUAACAUCAACCAUAGAAGAAAGAUGUCCACAAUCAUACAAAUAAUCCACUUCUCCUUAUCCUCUCUCUCUCUCNNNNNNNNNNNNNNNNNNNNCUCUCUCUCUCUCUCUCUCUCUCUCUCUCUCUCUCUCUCUCUCUCUCCCCCCAUGCUCCAAUUGAACAUGGGUAUGAAAUAACUAAACCAGCCCAUGUUUUAAUCAUCCUAUUGGACUAGCUGAUUGUUGGACCGCUUCAAUUGGAAAGUGGUCCAGUCUGCUAUAAAAUAAAUCACCCACUUCAAACACAGCAUCAUGGCUGCUACAGUGGGUUUCCCACUUCAUACUUGUGCCAUAUGGCACCACCAUGAUAUUUAGCAUAGCCUUCUUCGGCUGAAAGCGCUAUAGCCGCUGUAGCAGCCUAUUUUUAAAACAAUGUGGUCAAUCUGCAAACUUGAUAUAUCUUUACUAAUCAGGCAAGAUAGUUCGUCUUCUUAUUUUUCUUACUUAAAUGAGUUUCUUCCUCCUUUGCUAAAUAAAGUGAAAUAUUAAGAUGAAAUAAUGAAAUAAAAUGGGUUUUUUAUUUGGAUUGGUCCUUUUCUUUUCUUUGUCCAAAUGAAAUAGAGUAAAAUAUACUUAAAUGGGUUUCUUCUUGAUUAGAUGAAUUAAUAAAAUGCAACAAUGUUAAAUAUGCUUAGAUGUUUUUUUCCUCUGAUGAUUUAUAAAAAUGAAAUAGAAUGAAAUAUGCUUAGAGGAAAAGUUUAGUUAAAUUUUUAUGGAAAAUUAUAAAAAACAAAGAAAAGUAUAGAGAAAUUAUAAAAAUUAGAGAAUUGUAAGAAGCAGAGUCGCCGAGUUGGGAAACAAGUGUGAGAGAUCAUAUGAGAAACAAAAGUUGGUGAUUGAUAAGAAAUUAUACAAUUGGGAAAAUUGGUGGCAUCUAUAUAUGAUAAUUAAAAUUAUUCACAUAUUUAGCAUAGGAAAUAAAAAAGAUAUCUUACAAAGAUUAAAAAAAAUAAAAUCUCUACUCGUCGCCUAUGUUCUUUAAAAAGAAAAGAAAUAGGUAGCGAAGAUGAAUCUUUUUCUUCUAUUCUAAUGGGGCCUAGCUUCUAACUUUUUUUAGACAUGGGGUCCAUGUUGUGGUUUAAGGUAUAUUAGUAAUCAUUUUGAACUAAAACAAUUUUAGAUUGACAAAAUUUCUAAUUAAAGGACACUUAGAGCAAAAGUCUAUAUGGAAAGAUCACUCAUGCAAAGAAAAUCUAAAUCGAGGUUUUUUUUUAACUUCCUGUAGGUGGUGGGACUGAUGUGGUCGAGGCAUGUGGGGAAAGAGGACAAAGAGAGUGUGUAUUGGUUAUUUUCAGAAUGCAAAUUCAGCAUUUCUCAAAAUGCGCUUUGCACUCAUUUCUCAGGUUUUUUUUUUUUUUUUGUGGUACUAUAUAUUGAACGUGAGUACACCCAGCCAGAUCACUAGAAAGUAACAAAGACAAAGGAGGAGGAGCAUCUGAAUCAGACGUCCAUGGUAAGAAUAUUACAGAAAAAAAAGUCUAAACAUUUAAAGAAUUAAGCUUUGAUACAGUUUAAUUUCAAUCUGAGAUUACCCAAAAUACAUAUUAUAAUCCUAAAUAACUCAUAACACAAUAAAACGAUGUGAAUUAGCUUGUCUUUAUUUUUUCUCAACUUUUCUUGUUUGGAUCUUUUUAAACUUUUUUUACCAUAAGUCUAGAACUCAAGGUAAAAGUAUCAAAAUUGAAAUUACAAUGGUCAAGAAAAAUAGAGUUUUAUAAGAGAUGUGUAGAUCAUAUGUUAAUGAAUUUAGGGCUGAUUGAGUGACUGGCAGGGGUCGGUAGUCGACUUGUAAAAGUAUUUCAGGUUGCCUAUAUGAAUCUAUGCAGAAAUUCAGUGUGUACCACUAGAAAAAAGACAUAUAUGAGACUAAGUGCAAGUCAUCGAUACACAGAAAAGCACAGCAUAUGGAUAAGUUUAAGAAAAUAACAUAGAAACAAAAAUAGUAUGAAGCAAAAUAAAACAGGUAAAAUGAAAGAGGUUGGCGGAAAGAAAAACUAAAGAGACAGAAAGAAAAACUAGGAGGAAGUAAGAGAUGCAAAUCAGACAUCAAAUCCUUGAUGCCUUUCACAAGAACAGAGAGAAAGAAAACAGUUUAUCAUGCUUCUUGGAGUCUAGCAGAGGACCACAUAUGGCCUUCUCAGGUAAAUAAUAUCUAGAUUUUCCAGACCUCUAUAACGCAAAACUCAGUUUCUCACAGAUUCCUCUACAGAAGACACCUAAUCUACACAAAAUUAAAUCCUAAUGACUUCAGAAAUUUUCGAAUGUUAUAUAUAUAUAUAUAAUCUGAAAAUUACAAUAAACCUAAACUGCACCCAAUAGGCUACCAUUAAAUAAUAAGGUACCAUCAGAUGUAUGUACGCAGUAGUGGUGACACUAGCAGCAUCAAAACCCUAUUCUGCUUUCACCUUACUAGAUGAGUGGAAGUCAUGUUCCAAUAGAAUGAUCUUCCAGUCUAACCACUCAAAGUUGCUUACAUAAAGGGUUGGGGACCAAGUCUGUAUUUUAUUUUUGUAAUUAAACUUUUCCAAGCACCAAGAAAGAACACCAACAAGAUAGCCAUCCUUCAUGCUGCCAACCAUGAAAUUCUCUCAUUCACCAUUGACACCAAUGAGGGAUUUCAGCAAUGCAUGCUAUUUAUAUAUGAAAAAUAUUCUCUACAAAGAUAUCUUGCAUUAUCACAGCAUUGGACAUGGUUAAAGAUUUCUCUAAUUCUUUAACACAAGGUGAAUGCUAGGCAAGGGCACUGUAUUAAGUUCCUUCUUUAGUUAAUACAUACAUGGAAACACUCAAUGAAUUUUAACUUGCAAAUCAUAAUCCCUCUUACAUAUAUGAGAGUGAAACAAGGAGUCUAAUAAGUUCCCCUACUAAUCAAAGAUUUAAAUUCUUACGAAGUAAGUUGUAAUUCAUAAAACUUCAAAGAUGAUACUAAAAAUUUCAAGAAAUCAUUAAAUUCAUCUUUUGAUUAAGAAUUGUCAUUUUAAAUUGGAGUUCAGUAUUUUUCAUACUAAAGGCAUCUCCAUUCUGUGCAAUUUUCAAAUAAGUUGAAGGUGCAUUCCUCUAUAUUUUGGCAGAUACAACAUCAUCCCAAUAAUGAAUUUACUGACAAACAAAUUACCAUGGUAUGGAUAAAUUAAACACUUUUUUAUUAUAUAGAUACUUCGUUCAUGAAUCAUUGAAACUAUAGGUUCCCAUACUUAAUUCAAUUAUUAGUUUGUCAGCCAAUUGGGUAAGCUAUGUUUAGUUUUUAGUAGCAGGAAACUUAUACUUGAUGAAAAAGUAAUGAAACUGCAUAGAUAAUGGGAGUCAAUUUGACCGUAGAGAAUGCCUAGAUUGAUGUACUUCUACUCAUAGUAUAUCUCCUUUUCCCUCAUUUUAAAUGCAUAGAUUUAAUGUAUUUAAUGCCUAGAUAAGCGAGUCAAAAAAGUUCAUUCACAUAUCUCUUGAUGGUGCAUACCUUUAACAAAUCUGUGAUUGUAAGUGUUAAAACAUUAAGAUCAUUGCUCAUACCUCACACUUAAAAGUAAUCAAUGUCCUGUCUAUGCAUGUGGCUAAAAUAACUUGAUUUUGAGAAGAUCUAUGAUGAAAUCAAGGGCCUCAAUCAUUCAACCCAAUUUACAUCAUGAUGAUUUAAGGCCCCAUUCUACUGCUAGGAGAGUCAAUGGCAUGUAUUAGAAUGUUAAACUAUCAAACAACUCAGAUUUACUCAUUUAUUGAGUUUGUAUCUGUAUUUUUUUAGCCAUGGUCAUAAUCUUAGUCAUUCGGUUAUUUGGCCUUAACUUGGACUGGAGUCACUUGACCGCUGAGCAUUUAACUCAUUUGUCUGUCUAAUAUUCUUGAUCUCUUGGUUAUUUGGUACCCGAGUUAUUUUUUUUUCUACUUUAUUUGGUUACUUCAUUUAUAAAAUAGGUUAGGCUAUAUAUAUAGCUAUAGCAAAGCUAAAGGAGUAGUACUAAGUUAUAUGUGACUUUUGGCGGAGAAAGAAGUCUCUUCUCACAUGAGACUUGGAAUUCUACUCUUCACUCAUCUCCUCUCUCUUCUCUCAGCUUCGUUUCUUUCCUCUCUCUUCUUUCCAUGUGAAAUAUUCUCCUUAACCUGCACAAAUCUAAUUUAUUUUUCUGAGAUUUGAUUUGGGAUCUAAAUUCUCUUUAACCUAAAGAGAAAUAUGUUUUCCCUGAAAUUUGAUUUUGGGUCACAAUUGAACCUUCCACUUAAUAAUAAAAUCAUAAUAAUCCUUUUCCCAAUACUAAACCCUAUUCUCUGAACCCCAGGGUGGAGCAGAAAACCUAAAUAUACCCUUUAAUCCACCAAAUAGCUCACUUCAGUCUUGUUUUCUGAGAUUGGACAGGAAGUUCUUAAAAUGAGCAACACCCCUAAAUAUUCUAGCCUGAUGAACGCAUAAGCAAGCCAUUCCUGAGCAAUCCUGCAUGGAAAAUUUAGAAAGAGCCAACAAGUUCUAAGAUCUAGGCCAAUAUAUAUCAAGAUAUCAAAAUAUCAGAUGAAGAAUUAAAAAAAAAUUGAGAUUCAUUGAUGUUUCAAGGCACUGCUUUUAAUGUAUUGGCCAAUCUCUAGGGAUAUACAGAUUUUUAUUGACCGAGUUUAUAGGGCCAAGAUUUUAUUUAUCAAAUUAUUAGUGUCCCAUACCAAAAAAACUGGCAUCCUUAAACUUAAGAAAAAAAGAAAAACAAUGAACGCUCAUGCACACAGAUAUGUUUAUGUGCAUGUGUAUGUUUACAUUGUGUAAGUAAGUAUCAAAAUAUUUUCGAUUUCACUGAUAUAUGCACACAGAUAUCAAAAUAUUUUCGAUUUCACUGAUAUAUGUAUCUAUGUAUGUAUGUGUAGUACAUAUAUAUCUGCAAGUGCAAUCAAAGGGUCUGAGAAGGUGAGUCAAUAGCAAUCAAAGUUUCUAAGAUAAUGAGUUGCCGAUUUGAUGGUAAAGCUUCACAAAGAGUGGAACAGCAAGUCCAGAUAGGCUUAGUAGCAAAACUAGCAUGCAAUUUCAGCGCAAACUUUUCCUUACAAUUUAGGAAGAGAAAAGUCAGCAGUUAAAUUAGAAAAGAAAUUUGCUUUAAUGAAAAAAAAAAAAACUACUUCCUUUAGGACCAAAAAUUAGUUAUACUUUUUACCUUGGAGUAUAUUGAUAGAAGGACAACAUCAGAAACAAUAGUACUGGCAAGAACUACCUUUUGAAUCUGUUGCCUUAGUACUAUGAAGACUAAUAUAUCAAUAGAAGGGCAAAGUUAGAAAUAACACAUUGGAGUAAUAACUAGCAAGAACUGCCUUCUAUAUGUACUGUCAUCAUACUAUGAAGACACCCAUUUUGUUCAUAUAGAGAUGCUCGAAAUAGAGAAUCAGAAGUAAUUCUGGUAGCUGCAGUUAAAUGAGCUCCAUAGUAUCAAAGAAAAGACCAGAACUCAAGCUUUAAGGAACUUUAAAAGAUAACUCACUUGAUAUGUUCACAUCAGAAGUACAAAAUUCCCUUAGGGAAUCAAGAACAAUCUUCAGGAUACAAGAAGCAAACACCAGUUUAGAUGCAUUUAUAGUUUCCAUACCGCUUCCCUCGAUAAAAAUUACAUUUAUUUUAAGGAACGAUCUUAGCAAAUAAGCUAAUAAAAGCUAAUGUGAUAUCAGUACAUUAAAUUCAUGUUAACAUAUAUGCCUAUGGCAUGAAAGACUACAUAAUAACAACCACCAUGAGAAAGAUUAUAUUAUUGCAAAUGUUAAAGGGCAAAGAAAAAUGAAUCACAAAAAGAUACAAUGCAAGCACAACUAGGGAGGAAAGAGGAGCGAGGGGGUGGGAGGGGGGGAGGAAGAGGGCUACCUCCAUGGUCAAUAGCCUUCGACAAGAAACGAUGUGGAUUAAAGUGGCUGGCAUCCUUACCCCAUAUAGAGUCAUCCAUCUGCAGCAGCUGUAAAGGAACAACGAGCAUUGCUCCCGCCGGUAAAGUUAUACUAGAAUUAAGAAUCAAGUCUGUAAACAAGGAGGACAAAAUUACACACAUGACAGGGUCACCAUACAAGGGGCAAGUAAUAAUAGCAUUAAACUCAUGCAGCACUCUUUCUGCUAGUGUCAGUCAGAUAUAAACUAUUAAAGAACUUAAAGCAGCAAAAUAUUGAUGAAAAAGAAUAAAACCACAGAGAAAAGUUAACAACCAAGAAGCAAAUAUUCAAAUGCAGAACUUAGCACCUGGUCCUUUGUUUGACUGCCAUUUUAUGUUUAGUCCUGAUACAAUUAGCAUUUUCCAUUUAGUCCCUUGAAUAUAGUUAGACGUCUUUCCACACAGUUAUGCCUGUGUUUGUAUAUAACUGCUGUGUACACACUUAUGCAGGGACCAGGGAUUAACCACAAAAUGGCCAUCUAAAUAGAGACCAGGAAUUAAAACUUCCAUCAAGGAGGCCUAAAUAUAAAAUGGCAGUCAAUCUAGGAAGUGGGCCUCAAUUUCCCCGAUCCAAAUACACACAUUUUAAUUUGUGGUUAGAAGAUUAAAGCUUCCCGAGGCCUUUUGGCUGUACUUAACAUUUGCAUGCCAUGAUCAUAAAGCUGCACAGCAUAUUUGUAAAACAAUCCAGCAUGAUGAAAUCAGACAACAUUAUUGCACUAAACUUUGAUUCAACCUCCAGAUGUCUUGGACUCAGCACAUAUGUGUGCACUGCAUAACUCCGGAUAGAAAAUCAGAAGCCAAAUCCCAUAAAAUUAAAAUUCUGGUAAGACUACAAAUUUAGUUACAGGGAGCAUAUAACUACUCCAGCUUUCCAUGAGGAUUAACUGUCAUUACCAUUUAAAAUAGAAAUCUGAUUAUUGAAAGACCAUGACAAAGGCACCAAUUUAUAGUAAUGAAUUUUGAGAAUACUAAAAACAGAUUAAACAAGCAUUUAAAACUCACAUAAGAAAUCUUACUCUAAGUGAAGGUACAUUUUGAUAACAGACUGUAUCCUCAUGAAGGAAAUAAAAUCUUUUCAGGAUGUGAGCUCUUCGACUUAUAAAUAUGAAUGUCUACUGGUCUUAUGAAUUAAAAAACAUAAAAAAAGAUGUGCAAUCAUGCAUUGUAUAUUAUUCAGGAUGAGUCUCUCUCUGAAGUUGAAGUUGAGGAUAGCUAUGUCUCCCAAAUUGCUUCUUGGGCAGCUAGGCUGCCCUCGGACACACUUGAGAACCCAUUCUCGUAUAGGCAGGCUAGACCCGCCAAGGCAAACUUUGUGUCAAGUGAUUAUAUUUUUAGGCAGAAUGUCACAUCACCACCUAUAGAUAUUAUUAUAUCUAAAAUUACUCUAAAGGAUACUAAUGUAUGCAAUGAUUUAAACAUAUUAUAAAUAUGAGAUUACAAGCUCAAGUUAUAGUUAUAGAAGAUUAAUUAAGAUUAAUGUGUUAUCGCUGAUGAAAGUUGUAGCUCAUACUUUUUUUAUGAAAGAAAAUUACAACUCAUGUUGUAAAUAAUAUCCUGCAUAACUCGGUAAAUGACAAUAGCUUUCUCACUGCCAUCCAAAAGAAAAGUUAAAGCUCAUAAUAGUUUUUUUUUUUUUUUUAACUGCUAGGCAAAGAGGACAAGAAGAGAAAAAUGGUAAGACAACAAAAAAUUAGUUAAUGACAAGAAGAAAGAUCAUGGAAGGCACUCUCAAAUAAAAAGUGCACAUCCCCCAGGAUGGAUAAGAGCAAAAGUGCAAAAUAAACUUCAUGGAUAUCUAUGUUCCAUGAACUACAGGGACAGACCGAUGCUGAAAAGGCUGAAGAUGGCAGAAAGUGCCAUUCAACCAAGAGUCAAUCUAUAAUAGUUGUUAGCUAUUGAAGUUGUUGGCCAUUUUAUGAAGAAUAGAAAAAUAAUAGUGCCAAAAUAUUAUGUGAAGUGGCUGGUGCAUGUUUUUUCUUUCUUCUUUUUGGUUGGCUAUCUGCUUUUUUUGAAUUUACUACUUUUGAGCAUGUUAGAAGAUUUAUUUCCAUCAUUAUAAACAUAUAAUAGGAAUUAUUAUAAAAGCUCAUUUAAGUUAUGUAAGUAAAGAUUCAUAACAUGAUCGGCGAAACCGUUCCGAACUAUCCGGUCGGAGCAUACCGAGCCGUACCGGCGGCAGACCAGAACGGUUUCGGUAAACAAAACGAGAAACCGACGACGGAGGGGGAGAAGGAUAAGGAAAGAGAGAAAAAGAG